CUUCGGGUCAGGGCACCUCCUGCCCUGUGGUGCUGUGCACCUGACAUCAGUGGGGGCGGUGGGGGGGGCGGGGAUGCAAGUCAGUACAGCCCCCAAGAGCUGACCCGGGGGGACAAAUAGCAGCUCGAAACAGCAGAGCAUUAUCCGCUGUUUCAGGGGCCGCGGGGCACAGGCACACUCUCUGGUCGUUAGCUGCGCUUCGCUGCUCUGUCUUUGGGAGGGAGGAGGAGGGAGGAAUUUGUGGCUGUAUUUUAAAACCACGGCGUGGCUGCUUCGACAGCCUCCGUCCAAAUCACAGAUGCAUCUGCCCUUGGCCCUGCGGUCGGUUUCCCCUGCUGGCCUCACGUGUGUUCGUUGCCGUACGAUGUGUGCAGGUCCAAAGAGGACAACCCAGUGUCUCUCCACCCCGAGGGACCUGGGCGGGUGUGAGUGGCAGGUCGUCCACUGUGCAGAAUAUUUUGGAGCUGCUGGUGGUUGGAGAGGCAGAAAGGCAGAACCAAGCCUUCGUCUCUGUAUGCGGCGCUAUGGCCCUGCCGCCAGAACUCACAGUUAAAUGCAAAGUGUAACAGACUGUGUGUGCAGUAGACUGUCUUUUGUUGAAAAAGGGGAAUUGGGAAUAUUUACUCAUAUUUGCAUCAGAAAACUCUGGAAGGAAACACAAGAAGCUGCCCUGAGUGCUGACCCAGCGGGACAGGGGGAGAGGGUCUUGGGCCUUGGGGACGGGGGGUGCGACCCCUCAGUGCCAACCUUCGAAUCCCAGGAGUGCGUGCACAAGAACAAAUGUAAAAUCACCAUCAACCCAGUGGAAAGGCGGCCAGCUGACCCCACUCAUGCAGCGCCCCCUCCACGGGCCGGGCUGAGCUCUCCUGGGCUCUCCUGGGUCCCCGGGGCCCGAGGCAGCUUCCCACGGCUCUGCGGGCUCCGUGUGGCUGGAAGCCACUCCUCACCGGCUCCCCGGCCCACCCCGCCCCCAACCGAGCACCAGAUCAGUGCUGACUUGUUCCCCAUUUUCUUUGCAGCCAAGAAGCCCCUAUCCCCACGGCGGCUGCGGCGACCACCUGAGGGCCGACGCCCAGGCUGCAGUCAGGACCAUGAGGGCCGGUUUCUCCCGGGUCCCCCAAGGGCCGAGGAUGGCCGUCCAGCCCACUUCCCGCAGCCCCCCUCGGACCACAGCAUCCUCCUAGCACCCGGGACGGAGGGGCCAUGCCUGGGGAGCAGCCCCUCGGAGCGCCACCCCCAACCAUGACUGGAGACCUGCAGCCCUGCCCAGCAGCCAGCGGCACAGGGGGCUCCCCGAAAUGCCCUGCUGAGAUCGGUGUCCUGGCCGGCAGGACCUCCAAGGCCGUGGGCGGCGGAACCCAGGGCACAGAUGCCCCCAAGACCCAGGUGCGGCCCGCUGGGAGGGUGGGGGGCAGGGCCCCGCUCCCCAGCACCCAGUGCCUGAGCAGCACCCUCGCGAAGGG
rnacentral:lncRNA from 1 species